rnacentral:rRNA from 1 species
UUGGAGGGCAAGUCUGGUGCCAGCAGCCGCGGUAAUUCCAGCUCCAAUAGCGUAUAUUAAAGUUGUUGCAGUUAAAAAGCUCGUAGUUGAAUUUCGGGAUCAGAGUGUCGGUCGUGCCUCGGUACGCACUGGUAUUAUUGGUUCCUACCUUCUGAAGAACCGCGAUGUCAUUAAUUUGGUGUCGUGGGGAAUCAGGACUGUUACUUUGAAAAAAUUAGAGUGUUUAAAGCAGGCUUACGCUUGAAUACAUUAGCAUGGAAUAAUGAAAUAGGACGUUUGAUUCUAUUUUGUUGGUUUCUAGGAUUGACGUAAUGAUUAAUAGGGAUAGUUGGGGGCAUUAGUAUUCAAUUGUCAGAGGUGAAAUUCUUGGAUUUAUUGAAGACUAACUACUGCGAAAGCAUUUGCCAAGGAUGUUUUCAUUAAUCAAGUACGAAAGUUAGGGGAUCGAAGACGAUCAGAUACCGUCGUAGUCUUAACCAUAAACUAUGCCGACUAGGGAUCGGAUGAUGUUAAUUUUUUAAUGACUCAUUCGGCGCCUUACGGGAAAC